rnacentral:rRNA from 1 species
CCUUUUGUAUAAUGGGUCAGCGACUUAUAUUCUGUAGCAAGGUUAACCGAAUAGGGGAGCCGAAGGGAAACCGAGUCUUAACUGGGCGUUAAGUUGCAGGGUAUAGACCCGAAACCCGGUGAUCUAGCCAUGGGCAGGUUGAAGGUUGGGUAACACUAACUGGAGGACCGAACCGACUAAUGUUGAAAAAUUAGCGGAUGACUUGUGGCUGGGGGUGAAAGGCCAAUCAAACCGGGAGAUAGCUGGUUCUCCCCGAAAGCUAUUUAGGUAGCGCCUCGUGAAUUCAUCUCCGGGGGUAGAGCACUGUUUCGGCAAGGGGGUCAUCCCGACUUACCAACCCGAUGCAAACUGCGAAUACCGGAGAAUGUUAUCACGGGAGACACACGGCGGGUGCUAACGUCCGUCGUGAAGAGGGAAACAACCCAGACCGCCAGCUAAGGUCCCAAAGUCAUGGUUAAGUGGGAAACGAUGUGGGAAGGCCCAGACAGCCAGGAUGUUGGCUUAGAAGCAGCCAUCAUUUAAAGAAAGCGUAAUAGCUCACUGGUCGAGUCGGCCUGCGCGGAAGAUGUAACGGGGCUAAACCAUGCACCGAAGCUGCGGCAGCGACGCUUAUGCGUUGUUGGGUAGGGGAGCGUUCUGUAAGCCUGUGAAGGUGUACUGUGAGGUAUGCUGGAGGUAUCAGAAGUGCGAAUGCUGACAUAAGUAACGAUAAAGCGGGUGAAAAGCCCGCUCGCCGGAAGACCAAGGGUUCCUGUCCAACGUUAAUCGGGGCAGGGUGAGUCGACCCCUAAGGCGAGGCCGAAAGGCGUAGUCGAUGGGAAACAGGUUAAUAUUCCUGUACUUGGUGUUACUGCGAAGGGGGGACGGAGAAGGCUAUGUUGGCCGGGCGACGGUUGUCCCGGUUUAAGCGUGUAGGCUGGUUUUCCAGGCAAAUCCGGAAAAUCAAGGCUGAGGCGUGAUGACGAGGCACUACGGUGCUGAAGCAACAAAUGCCCUGCUUCCAGGAAAAGCCUCUAAGCAUCAGGUAACAUCAAAUCGUACCCCAAACCGACACAGGUGGUCAGGUAGAGAAUACCAAGGCGCUUGAGAGAACUCGGGUGAAGGAACUAGGCAAAAUGGUGCCGUAACUUCGGGAGAAGGCACGCUGAUAUGUAGGUGAAGCGACUUGCUCGUGGAGCUGAAAUCAGUCGAAGAUACCAGCUGGCUGCAACUGUUUAUUAAAAACACAGCACUGUGCAAACACGAAAGUGGACGUAUACGGUGUGACGCCUGCCCGGUGCCGGAAGGUUAAUUGAUGGGGUUAGCGCAAGCGAAGCUCUUGAUCGAAGCCCCGGUAAACGGCGGCCGUAACUAUAACGGUCCUAAGGUAGCGAAAUUCCUUGUCGGGUAAGUUCCGACCUGCACGAAUGGCGUAAUGAUGGCCAGGCUGUCUCCACCCGAGACUCAGUGAAAUUGAACUCGCUGUGAAGAUGCAGUGUACCCGCGGCAAGACGGAAAGACCCCGUGAACCUUUACUAUAGCUUGACACUGAACAUUGAGCCUUGAUGUGUAGGAUAGGUGGGAGGCUUUGAAGUGUGGACGCCAGUCUGCAUGGAGCCGACCUUGAAAUACCACCCUUUAAUGUUUGAUGUUCUAACGUUGACCCGUAAUCCGGGUUGCGGACAGUGUCUGGUGGGUAGUUUGACUGGGGCGGUCUCCUCCUAAAGAGUAACGGAGGAGCACGAAGGUUGGCUAAUCCUGGUCGGACAUCAGGAGGUUAGUGCAAUGGCAUAAGCCAGCUUGACUGCGAGCGUGACGGCGCGAGCAGGUGCGAAAGCAGGUCAUAGUGAUCCGGUGGUUCUGAAUGGAAGGGCCAUCGCUCAACGGAUAAAAGGUACUCCGGGGAUAACAGGCUGAUACCGCCCAAGAGUUCAUAUCGACGGCGGUGUUUGGCACCUCGAUGUCGGCUCAUCACAUCCUGGGGCUGAAGUAGGUCCCAAGGGUAUGGCUGUUCGCCAUUUAAAGUGGUACGCGAGCUGGGUUUAGAACGUCGUGAGACAGUUCGGUCCCUAUCUGCCGUGGGCGCUGGAGAACUGAGGGGGGCUGCUCCUAGUACGAGAGGACCGGAGUGGACGCAUCACUGGUGUUCGGGUUGUCAUGCCAAUGGCACUGCCCGGUAGCUAAAUGCGGAAGAGAUAAGUGCUGAAAGCAUCUAAGCACGAAACUUGCC